CUCUCUGUAGCUCAGUUGGUCAGAGCACUGCACCGAAAUUGCAGGUUCGAUUCCUGCCAGAGGGC